AUGAGAAGGCAACCAUCAAUUGGAGUAACAAAAUCUCGACAACAGAGUACCUUUGAUUACGACAUGGCUACUAUCCAAUGGAGUAACAAAAAUCUCGUCAACAAACUACCUUCCAAAAUGAUAAGGCUACCAUCCAUUGGAAUAAAAAAGUAUCGACAACAAACUAAGUUCCAUAAUGACAAGGCUACCAUCCAUUGGGGUAACAAAAAUCUCGACAACAGACUACCUUCCAUAAUGACAAGGCUACCAUCCAUUAGAGUAACAAAAAUCUCGACAUCAGACUACCUUCCAUAA